ACGGAGGGUGCAAGCGUUGUUCGGAAUCACUGGGCGUAAAGGGCGCGUAGGCGGUUAUGCAAGUCCUCUUUUAAAUACUUCAGCUUAACUGAAGAACUGCAUUUGAUACUGCAAGACUAGAGUACAGGAGAGGGAAAUGGAAUUCCCGGUGUAGAGGUGAAAUUCGAAGAUAUCGGGAGGAACACCAGUGGCGAAGGCGAUUUCCUGGCCUGAUACUGACGCUGAGGCGCGAAAGCGUGGGGAGCAAACCG
rnacentral:rRNA from 1 species